rnacentral:rRNA from 1 species
UUUAGGGGUACCCUGAGACACCCGAAAGGUCGAAGGGAGAAAUUCAUUCGCGUUUCGCGGUAGGCGUUUGGCGGUCGCGUGACGAAAAACGCGCGUACGUUUCGGCGUACGUGUUCGUUUUUUCGCUCCAUCCGUCAUUCGAUCCGAUCGUGAACGCGUGCACUUUUCUCUCGGUAGGACGUCGCGAUCCGUUGGGUGUCGGUCUAAGGUUCGCGGUGGAGCCCGCAAAUAUACGUUUCACGACGCUAUUUGUGGACCCGCGUCUUUUCCCGACCGACUCGCUCGACGGUAUACGAUAGGUUUAAGGCCGCUCGAUACUUACACGAGCGUUCGACUCGUCGCAAGCGCGUCAGAUGUUUGUCGGCGAUCGGACCAGGUGCCGGUUCCGACCUCUGAUGACUGUUGGCGACGAAGUUCUCGAACGGACCUUAAUUUUCUUCACGGAAAAUUUUCAAAAACCGAUCUGCGACGCUAUAGCUUUGGGUACUUUCAGGACCCGUCUUGAAACACGGACCAAGGAGUCUAGCAUGCGCGCGAGUCAUUGGGAAUUUAAUAAACCUAAAGGCGUAAUGAAAGUAAAAGUUCGUCUCGCACGAACCUAGGGAAGAUGAACGGUUUUUUUGUGGACCGUUCCGCAUUCCCGGGGCGUCUCGUUCUCAUCGCGAGAAGAGGCGCACCAAGAGCGUACACGCUGGGACCCGAAAGAUGGUGAACUAUGCCUGGUCAGGACGAAGUCAGGGGAAACCCUGAUGGAGGUCCGUAGCGAUUCUGACGUGCAAAUCGAUCGUCGGAACUGGGUAUAGGGGCGAAAGACUAAUCGAACCAUC